UCCGGCGUGGUGUAACUGGCAGCACCGGGGCCUUUGAAGCCUCAGGUCCAGGUCCGAAUCCUGGCGCCGGAG
rnacentral:tRNA from 1 species